UGCCAUCAUGACUCUACCUAUCACGACACCCAGUGACUCCAUCCAUCGCUGCUCCAGCGGCUCUGACCAUCGCUGCUCCACCUGCAACUCCAGCAGCCAUAAUUCCAGUGAUGUAGCCCAUGGCUGUCCGUCGUUCCCUUAGUGGCUUCGAUCACCACUGUCCCAGCGGCUAUGACCGUCGGUGCCCCUGCGAUACAUACCGCUGCAGCAUCGAAAACUCCUAGAGUGACUGCAGCUCCACACCCCUACCUCCGAUCCUCCUAUGGCCCAAGCUGGUGGAAGCCUCCUCACAGGUCCCUA
rnacentral:lncRNA from 1 species